CACGUAGGGGGCAAGCGUUGUCCGGAUUCAUUGGGCGUAAAGAGCUCGUAGGCGGUUCGAUAAGUCGGGUGUGAAACCUCCAGGCUCAACCUGGAGACGCCACCCGAUACUGUCGUGACUAGAGUCCAGUAGGGGAGCGUGGAAUUCCUGGUGUGAGCGGUGAAAUGCGCAGAUAUCAGGAGGAACACCAGCGGCGAAGGCGGCGCUCUGGGCUGGCACUGACGCUGAGGAGCGAAAGCGUGGGAGCGAACAGG
rnacentral:rRNA from 1 species